rnacentral:rRNA from 1 species
GGGAAUCUACCUACUAGUGGAGGAUAACUCGGGGAAACUCGAGCUAAUACUGCAUACGCCCUACGGGGGAAAGCGGGGGAUCUUCGGACCUCGUGCUAUUGGAUGAGCCCGCGUUAGAUUAGCUUGUUGGUGAGGUAAUGGCUCACCAAGGCGACGAUCUAUAGCUGGUCUGAGAGGAUGAUCAGCCACAUUGGGACUGAGACACGGCCCAAACUCCUACGGGAGGCAGCAGUGGGGAAUAUUGCGCAAUGGGCGAAAGCCUGACGCAGCCAUGCCGCGUGUGUGAAGAAAGCCUUCGGGUUGUAAAGCACUUUCAAUAGGGAGGAAAGGUUGUAGUUUAAUACGCUGCAA